rnacentral:tRNA from 1 species
GCCUUCGUGGUGUAAUGGUCAGCAUACUCGACGCGUAUUCGAGAGAUCUGAGGUUCGAGUCCCGGCGAGGGCA